rnacentral:rRNA from 1 species
GAUGAACGCUAGCGACAGGCUUAACACAUGCAAGUCGAGGGGCAGCGGGGAUGAGAGCUUGCUCUCAUCUGCCGGCGACCGGCGCACGGGUGAGUAACACGUAUGCAACCUGCCCGCUACAGGGGGAUAAGCGGAAGAAAUUCCGUCUAAUACCGCAUAACGAGUUCCGGGGACAUCCCCGGGAUUCCAAAGGAGCGAUCCGGUAGCGGAUGGGCAUGCGUCGCAUUAGGUAGUUGGCGGUGUAACGGACCACCAAGCCGACGAUGCGUAGGGGUUCUGAGAGGAAGGUCCCCCACACUGGUACUGAGACACGGACCAGACUCCUACGGGAGGCAGCAGUGAGGAAUAUUGGUCAAUGGGCGGGAGCCUGAACCAGCCAAGUCGCGUGAGGGAAGACGGCCCUAUGGGUUGUAAACCUCUUUUGUCAGGGAGCAAGGACUGCCACGUGUGGCAGGGCGAGAG